GGAGGGGUGGCAGAGCGGUUGAACGCGGCGGUCUUGAAAACCGUUAGGCUCGAAAGGGCCUCGGGAGUUCAAAUCUCCCCCCCUCCG
rnacentral:tRNA from 5 species